AUGGGGGCGCAGAGAACUCUCCUCGCGAGCUUCCUGCUCGCCGCGUUGGCCACCCAAGCCUUCGUCGCCAUCUCGGCCAGGACCGGCCCGACGGACAAGGCAAGCCAAGAUGACGUGAAGAAGCCGGACUAUACGUCGUCGCUCGACCCGCACAACUUCCCCGGCCACGGGGGCACCACCGUGCCGCUUCCCUCGCACGGAGGCUCCUCCGGCACGCCGCCUUACCACAGAGGCUCCGGCACUACGCCGUCGCACGGCGGCUCCGGCUCGACUCCGUCGCACAGCGGCUCCGGGUCGUUGCCUGACCCGUCGCACGGCGGGUACGGGACGCCGCCUUCGCACGGCGGCUCUGGUUCGUUGCCUGACCAGUCGCACAGCGGAGGAGGUUACGGGUCCACUCCGGACGCGCCAUCCCACGGCGGAGGCGCGUACUGGCGGUGCCUACGGCAGCUCACCCACGCCGUCCCACGACGGGCCUACGGGAGCUCCUCGACGCCGGCCCACGACGGAGGCUCCUACAGGGGAACUCCGGCUGCACCGUCGCACAGCAGCCACGGGUCUGUCACACCGACGCCGCUCAUGCCAGUCGACCCCAACAGCCUCGGGACAUGCGACUAUUGGAGGACGCACCCCAUGCAGACCUGGUCGGCGCUGGGAGCUGGCCGAGCUCGGUGA
rnacentral:rRNA from 1 species